CACCUCCCCGCCGCUCUCUCCAGAGAAAGCUACCACGAAGCAUCUGAGAUACUUCUCGACUGAGAAGUGGUGGAAAGCUGGUGACUUACUGUCAUCAAGCACGUGAAGCUCUGUUCACUGACUGUGAACUUCUGGUCCCUGUGUUACGAGAGCUAAAUAGGCAAAGACCUGCAAACUGGCCCUUUGCAAUGCCAGCUAUUCCCAUGAAUUCUGAAAAUUUGGACUGUUUCCAGAAGAAUGGGCUGAAGUAUUGAAGAAAGUCACUGAAACAUAAUUUUUCAUUUUACAUUGCUACACUGAUCACAACUGGUCUGCUCUCACCUUUCCUGUGGCAGCUGCUCUUCACUGCCCUGAGCCAUAGACCUCAAGCUGAUAGAGGGAACUGAACUUGCAGAAGAAGGUGAAGACACAAGCUGCCUACUGCUAUCAUUAACUGCAGGGGAAGGUAGUGCUCCUGGCUGCGGGCAG